rnacentral:rRNA from 1 species
UGAGGAAUACAUCGGAAAUCUACUCUGUCGUGGGGGAUAACGUAGGGAAACUUACGCUAAUACCGCAUACGACCUACGGUGAAAGCAGGGAUCUUCGGACCUUGCGCGAUUGAAUGAGCCGAUNUCGGAUUAGCUAGUUGGCGGGUAAAGGCCCACCAAGGCGACGAUCCGUAGCUGGUCUGAGAGGAUGAUCAGCCACACUGGAACUGAGACACGGUCCAGACUCCUACGGGAGGCAGCAGGA